rnacentral:rRNA from 1 species
ACGAACGCUGGCGGCGUGCUUAACACAUGCAAGUCGAACGGAAAGGCCCUGCUUGCAGGGUACUCGAGUGGCGAACGGGUGAGUAACACGUGGGUGAUCUGCCCUGCACUUCGGGAUAAGCCUGGGAAACUGGGUCUAAUACCGGAUAGGAGCCAUUUUUAGUGUGAUGGUUGGAAAGUUUUUUCGGUGUAGGAUGAGCUCGCGGCCUAUCAGCUUGUUGGUGGGGUAAUGGCCUACCAAGGCGGCGACGGGUAGCCGGCCUGAGAGGGUGGACGGCCACAUUGGGACUGAGAUACGGCCCAGACUCCUACGGGAGGCAGCAGUGGGGAAUAUUGCACAAUGGGCGGAAGCCUGAUGCAGCGACGCCGCGUGGGGGAUGACGGCCUUCGGGUUGUAAACUCCUUUCGCUAGGGACGAAGCUUUUUGUGACGGUACCUAGAUAAGAAGCACCGGCUAACUACGUGCCAGCAGCCGCGGUAAUACGUAGGGUGCGAGCGUUGUCCGGAAUUACUGGGCGUAAAGGGCUCGUAGGUGGUUUGUCGCGUCGUCUGUGAAAUUCCGGGGCUUAACUCCGGGCGUGCAGGCGAUACGGGCAUAACUUGAGUACUGUAGGGGUAACUGGAAUUCCUGGUGUAGCGGUGAAAUGCGCAGAUAUCAGGAGGAACACCGAUGGCGAAGGCAGGUUACUGGGCAGUUACUGACGCUGAGGAGCGAAAGCAUGGGUAGCGAACAGGAUUAGAUACCCUGGUAGUCCAUGCCGUAAACGGUGGGCGCUAGGUGUGAGGGUCUUUUCACGACUUUCGUGCCGUAGCUAACGCAUUAAGCGCCCCGCCUGGGGAGUACGGCCGCAAGGCUAAAACUCAAAGGAAUUGACGGGGCC